rnacentral:tRNA from 1 species
AUAAAAAUAGUUUAAUAUAAAAUAUUGAUUUGUGGGUUCAAAGAUUUGGUUUCAAUUUUUAUU